AUCUGCCUUGCCACUCGUGAGACUUGCAUAAAGUCAUUCGAUGCUCCUGUUGUCACAUUUUCCUCUCCGAAAAUUACUUCUUCGGCAAUCCUGCACAAGUAAUGAGAAAGUUUCUGGAAUAAGGUCAUGAGAUUAAGGUUGUGCAUUCACCUCACACCAAUUGUUUAAACAAAGAUAAACUUGUUAAACUGACCUUCCACCAAGCGCGACAGCCAUCUGGUUCUCUAGGUAGCUUCGGCUGUAGAGACCAGAUUCAAGCCUCUCUUCACUUGGAGC